GAUGAGCGCUAGCGGCAGGCCUAACACAUGCAAGUCGAGGGGUAGCAGGAUUAAGCUUGCUUAAUUGCUGACGACCGGCGCACGGGUGCGUAACGCGUAUGCAACCUACCUUAUACUGGGGUAUAGCCCGGAGAAAUUCGGAUUAAUCCCCCAUAGUACUAAUGAAUCGCAUGGUUUAUUAGUUAAAGCAUUGCGGUAUAAGAUGGGCAUGCGUCCUAUUAGCUAGAUGGUGAGGUAACGGCUCACCAUGGCUACGAUAGGUAGGGGGCCUGGGAGGGUGGUCCCCCACACUGGAACUGAGACACGGACCAGACUCCUACGGGAGGCAGCAGUGAGGAAUAUUGGUCAAUGGGCGCAAGCCUGAACCAGCCAUGCCGCGUGCAGGAAGAAUGCCCUAUGGGUUGUAAACUGCUUUUAUUUGGGAAUAAACCUCUUUACGUGUAGAGAGCUGAAGGUACCAAAUGAAUAAGCACCGGCUAACUCCGUGCCAGCCGCCGCGGUAA
rnacentral:rRNA from 1 species